UCUCCGUUGGUGAACCAGCGGAGAGAUCAUUACCGAGUUUACAACUCCCAAACCCAAUGUGAACCAUACCAAACUGUUGCCUCGGCGGGGUCACGCCCCGGGUGCGUCGCAGCCCCGGAACCAGGCGCCCGCCGGAGGGACCAACCAAACUCUUUCUGUAGUCCCCUCGCGGACGUUAUUUUUACAGCUCUGAGCAAAAAUUCAAAAUGAAUCAAAACUUUCAACAACGGAUCUCUUGGUUCUG
rnacentral:misc_RNA from 1 species